GGCCAACGUCCAUGACGUCCUCCUUGAAUUCCCAACAAAUCAAAGUGUCCUCAGAUUUGGCCGUGGGGGGCCUCAUACAGUGUCCUUGAACUCCUCCUCCGCCAAUGUCACAUCACUCAAAUUUGGCCCUCAAGGGUAAAGAUGGAAUUUGAGAAAGCUAGUGAGUACAAGAUGGGAAGAGGAAAAGUCCUUAAAUCCUGGAAUUUGCCUUUCGAAAAUGCUAAAAG
rnacentral:lncRNA from 1 species